GGCUCAGGAUGAACGCUAGCUACAGGCUUAACACAUGCAAGUCGAGGGGAAACGAUAGAGAAAGCUUGCUUUUUCUAGGCGUCGACCGGCGCACGGGUGAGUAACGCGUAUCCAACCUGCCCAUCACUUGGGGAUAACCUUGCGAAAGUAAGACUAAUACCCAAUGAUAUCUCUAGAAGACAUCUGAAAGAGAUUAAAGAUUUAUCGGUGAUGGAUGGGGAUGCGUCUGAUUAGCUUGUUGGCGGGGUAACGGCCCACCAAGGCGACGAUCAGUAGGGGUUCUGAGAGGAAGGUCCCCCACAUUGGAACUGAGACACGGUCCAAACUCCUACGGGAGGCAGCAGUGAGGAAUAUUGGUCAAUGGACGAGAGUCUGAACCAGCCAAGUAGCGUGCAGGAUGACGGCCCUAUGGGUUGUAAACUGCUUUUAUAAGGGAAUAAAGUGAGUCUCGUGAGGCUUUUUGCAUGUACCUUAUGAAUAAGGACCGGCUAAUUCCGUG
rnacentral:rRNA from 1 species